AACUGAUACUACCUGCGGGAACCUGCGGAGGGAUCAUUCAUAACAGGCCCAGUAUGGGGGCCCUUUUAAAUUUCCAUAUUCUUCACCUUGUGUGCAAUGUUUUUUAACAUAUUUUAAACGCUUAAAAUUUUUUUUUAAAUUGUCUGAAAUAAAUAUUGUGAAUUUUUUUUUAAUUCAAAAUACAACUUUUAACAAUGGAUCUCU
rnacentral:misc_RNA from 1 species